ensembl:lncRNA
CGGUGGGAGUGGCUCCCUUGAUUGGUUGAUUGUGGUCACCUGGGGGAUCCAAGAUGGGGGAUAUACACAGCAUGGUGGCCAGUGGUUAAACCCCAGCAGGAUAAGACUUUGUAAAGCCAUUCACCCAUAUGCCAGUACACACCAGAGCUAAGGAGUCCAACGGGGGAACGUGACCGCCCCUUCACCGUCUUUGUUUGUCAAGUGUUUGUCUAAGUAUGUAAAACAAUAACUGAACGAGACGGCUACAGUUCACCCCAAUGCUUGGGCUAUCUCCAUAGCAAGAGAGAGAAGGACCAGCGCUCACCAGGAACCCAGAUCUUCCAACUCCAACUUCAAAUUCUUGUCACUCUCCUCCGCCAACUCCUUCUUGAGGUGCUCGAGAUCCUGCUCAUGCUCCCUCCUCAGCGACCGGAAGUCCUUCUGCAACCUGACGGACGCGUCGGAUAGGGGGUUGGGCGCGGUCCUGACCCAGCAGGUGGAGGGGUCGACCGCCCGGUGCUGUACCUGAGCCGGAAAUUAUCAGACCGGGAGGGUCGGUACAGCACGGUGGAGAAGGAGUGUCUCGCAAUCCGGUGGGCGGUUGGCGCCCUCCUGACUGGGGCGCGUUCACCCUCUACUCCGACCACGCCCCCCUCCAGUGGCUCCACCGCAUGAAGGACGUCAACGCGAGGAUCACCCGGUGGUACCUCGCGUUGCAACCCUUUAAUUUUCGGGUCGUGCACAGGCC